CUCGGGUUGCUGCCAAAACUCUCUGAUCAUAUAUAAUAAGAAUAGAGUAAUGGUAGGACAUUGAGAUUUUUACUAAUGGAAUCAUUAAUAUCUAAAAAUAUUAAAUAAUUCAUGGUUUUAAGUAAUAAUUAUUAUUACAAUAUAUAAAUAUUGAAUUGAACAAAAAUAAACUAAAAAGCCUGUGAAUUAUAACCAUUAGCUAUUUUUUUUAAUUUGUUGUUCAAGUCACAGACAAUUCUUUCGUUUGGCAGCAUAUAGGUUUACUAUAAGGCUAUAUGAGCUAAGCCUUUUGCCUAUUGGCGAAUUUAAAAUCUAUGGCACUCAGCUUUGGGAUGUUAUCAAAUAAGUAAUUAAUUUUUUUGUAAAACAAUGCCAGGUUGAAAGAAAUGUUGAUACAUAAACUAAACAACGUGAAAAAAUAAGACAUCGUUUUUCAAGUACAUAUAGUUUUAACAUAAAGUUGGCCCACUUUUGGGCAUUGUCCUUUCUUAUUUUAUCAUGCUAACCCGCUUAAAACGUAAAAAAAAAAAAAUUAAAACAUAUUUCAUAGGAUCUCAAGAAAGUCGAUACCCCAAAACUAUUAUCUAUAUACCUAUAUCUUCCUUAACCUUAACCUCCUUAACCUUAACUUCAUUAUGGAGCAGAUGACGUCACAGUGGCACGAUUUUUUUAUUGACGUUUAAUUUCCAUAGGUUUCAUACUUCAGUGGGUAAGAUCAACUUCCAUUAUACAACAUAAAAAACGCGUUGAUAUAUUAAAAUGUACCAACCUAAAUCAGAUUUGGAGAACAUUAAAUAUGCUUAAGCAAAUAUAUUUAAUUUUACUGAGCUCUUAGAUACAUGUCGUUGAAAUCAUACGAAAUUUUAACUUUAAUGAUAUUAUGGAAAAUCUUAAAUCUACCACUCAACACAAAAUGGUCUACUUCGGAAAUAACGCGAUUUAAUUUGAUAGCGAGCAACAAGCUAUGUACCUGAAAUAAACUACUUAUAAUUACAACGUUAA